CCUGGCUCAGAACGAACGCUGGCGACAGGCUUAACACAUGCAAGUCGAACGCGAACGCACCUUCGGGUGUUAGUAGAGUGGCAGACGGGUGAGUAACGCGUGGGAACCUACCUAGGGGUACGGAAUAACGCAGGGAAACUUGUGCUAAUACCGUAUACGUCCUUCGGGAGAAAGAUUUAUCGCCCCUAGAUGGGCCCGCGUUGGAUUAGCUUGUUGGUGAGGUAAUGGCUCACCAAGGCUACGAUCCAUAGCUGGUCUGAGAGGAUGAUCAGCCACACUGGGACUGAGACACGGCCCAGACUCCUACGGGAAGCAGCAGUGGGGAAUCUUGCACAAUGGGCGAAAGCCUGAUGCAGCCAUGCCGCGUGAGUGAAGAAGGCCCUAGGGUUGUAAAACUCUUUCAGUGGGGAAGAUAAUGACGGUACCCACAGAAGAAGCUCCGGCUAACUCCGUGCCAGCAGCCGCGGUAAUACGGAGGGAGCUAGCGUUGUUCGGAAUUACUGGGCGUAAAGCGCACGUAGGCGGACUGAUCAGUUGGGGGUGAAAGCCCAGGGCUCAACCCUGGAACUGCCUUCAAUACUGUCAGUCUUGAGUCCGAGAGAGGUGAGUGGAAUUUCCAGUGUAGAGGUGAAAUUCGUAGAUAUUGGAAAGAACACCAGUGGCGAAGGCGGCUCACUGGCUCGGUA
rnacentral:rRNA from 1 species